GACAGAGGGUGCAAACGUUGUUCGGAAUUACUGGGCGUAAAGCGCGUGUAGGCGGCCCUGCAAGUCGGAUGUGAAAUCCCACGGCUCAACCGUGGAAGUGCAUUCGAAACUGCAGGGCUAGAGUCCUGGAGAGGAAGGUGGAAUGCUUGGUGUAGAGGUGAAAUGCGUAGAUAUCGUCAAGAACACCUAUAGCGAAGGCAGCUUACUAGGCUGUAACUGACGCUGAGGCACGAAAGUGUGGGGAUCAAACAGG
rnacentral:rRNA from 1 species